AAGAGUUUGAUCAUGGCUCAGAUUGAACGCUGGCGGCAGGCCUAACACAUGCAAGUCGAACGGUAGCACAGAGAGCUUGCUCUCGGGUGACGAGUGGCGGACGGGUGAGUAAUGUCUGGGAAACUGCCUGAUGGAGGGGGAUAACUACUGGAAACGGUAGCUAAUACCGCAUAACGUCGCAAGACCAAAGAGGGGGACCUUCGGGCCUCUUGCCAUCAGAUGUGCCCAGAUGGGAUUAGCUAGUAGGUGGGGUAACGGCUCACCUAGGCGACGAUCCCUAGCUGGUCUGAGAGGAUGACCAGCCACACUGGAACUGAGACACGGUCCAGACUCCUACGGGAGGCAGCAGUG
rnacentral:rRNA from 1 species